CCUACGGGUGGCAGCAGUCGAGAAUCAUUCACAAUGGGGGAAACCCUGAUGGUGCGACGCCGCGUGGGGGAAUGAAGGUCUUCGGAUUGUAAACCCCUGUCAUGUGGGAGCAAAUUAAAAAGAUAGUACCACAAGAGGAAGAGACGGCUAACUCUGUGCCAGCAGCCGCGGUAAUACGGAGGUCUCAAGCGUUGUUCGGAAUCACUGGGCGUAAGGCGUGCGUAGGCUGUUUCGUAAGUCGUGUGUGAAAGGCGCGGGCUCAACCCGCGGACGGCACAUGAUACUGCGAGACUAGAGUAAUGGAGGGGGAAGCGGAAUUCUCGGUGUAGCAGUGAAAUGCGUAGAUAUCGAGAGGAACACUCGUGGCGAAGGCGGGUUCCUGGACAUUAACUGACGCUGAGGCACGAAGGCCAGGGGAGCGAAAGGGAUUAGAUACCCCAGUAGUC
rnacentral:rRNA from 1 species